CAGUCGCCGCGGGAAUACGAAGGGGGCUAGCGUUGCUCGGAAUUACUGGGCGCAAAGGGCGCGUAGGCGGACAGUUCAGUCGGGGGUGAAAGCCCGGGGCUCAACCUCGGAAUUGCCUUCGAUACUGGCUGUCUUGAGUAUGAGAGAGGUGUGUGGAACUCCGAGUGUAGAGGUGAAAUUCGUAGAUAUUCGGAAGAACACCAGUGGCGAAGGCGACACACUGGCUCAUUACUGACGCUGAGGCGCGAAAGCGUGGGGAGCAAACAGGAUUAGAUACCCCAGUAGUCCCUGUCUCUUAUAC
rnacentral:rRNA from 1 species